UUCCCCUUCUUUGACCUCCAGGUGCCCGACUGUGUAGAGGCGAGAAAUAUGCCGUGUUGUGUCUUGGUAAAUUUCUCGCCUUUCACAAUUGAGCAUCUAGGACUGCUGCUACUGUCCCC
rnacentral:precursor_RNA from 15 species